CUCAGUUCGGAUCGGAGUCUGCAACCCGACUCCGUGAAGCUGGAUUCGCUAGUAAUCGCGCAUCAGCCAUGGCGCGGUGAAUACGUUCCCGGGCCUUGUACACACCGCCCGUCAAGCCAUGGGAGUCGGGAAUGCCCGAAGCCGGUGGCCCAAUCGAAAGAAGGGAGCCGUCGAAGGCAGGCCGGAUGACUGGGGUGAAGUCGUAACAAGGUACC
rnacentral:rRNA from 1 species